UGUUAUGUAGGGGUGGAGGUGUAUGUUAUGUAGGGGUGGAGGUGUAUGUUAUGUAGGGGUGGAGGUGUAUGUUAUGUAGAGGUGGAGGUGUAUGUUAUGUAGAGGUGGAGGUGUAUGUUAUGUAGAGGUGGAGGUGUAUGUUAUGUAGGGGUGGAGGUGUAUGUUAUGUAGGGGUGGAGGUGUAUGUUAUGUAGAGGUACAGAUGGAGGUGUAUGUUAUGUAGAGGGGUACAGAUGGAGGUGUAUGUUAUGUAGAGGGGUACAGAUGGAGGUGUAUGUUAUGUAGAGGUGGAGGUGUAUGUUAUGUAGAGGUGGAGGUGUAUGUUAUGUAGGGGUGGAGGUGUAUGUUAUGUGGAGGUACAGAUGGAGGUGUAUGUUAUGUAGAGGUGGAGGUGUAUGUUAUGUAGAGGUGGAGGUGUAUGUUAUGUAGAGGUGGAGGUGUAUGUUAUGUAGAGGUACAGAUGGAGGUGUAUGUUAUGUAGAGGUACAGAUGGAGGUGUAUGUUAUGUAGAGGUGGAGGUGUAUGUUAUGUAGGGGUGGAGGUGUAUGUUAUGUAGAGGUACAGAUGGAGGUGUAUGUUAUGUAGAGGUGGAGGUGUAUGUUAUGUAGAGGUACAGAUGGAGGUGUAUGUUAUGUAGAGGUGGAGGUGUAUGUUAUGUAGAGGUACAGAUGGAGGUGUAUGUUAUGUAGAGGUGGAGGUGUAUGUUAUGUAGAGGUACAGAUGGAGGUGUAUGUUAUGUAGAGGUGGAGGUGUAUGUUAUGUAGAGGUACAGAUGGAGGUGUAUGUUAUGUAGAGGUGGAGGUGUAUGUUAUGUGGAGGUACAGAUGGAGGUGUAUGUUAUGUGGAGGUACAGAUGGAGGUGUAUGUUAUGUGGAGGUACAGAUGGAGGUGUAUGUUAUGUAGAGGUGGAGGUGUAUGUUAUGUGGAGGUACAGAUGGAGGUGUAUGUUAUGUAGGGGUGGAGGUGUAUGUUAUGUAGAGGUGGAGGUGUAUGUUAUGUAGAGGUGGAGGUGUAUGUUAUGUAGAGGUGGAGGUGUAUGUUAUGUAGAGGUGGAGGUGUAUGUUAUGUAGAGGUGGAGGUGUAUGUUAUGUAGAGGUGGAGGUGUAUGUUAUGUAGAGGUGGAGGUGUAUGUUAUGUAGAGGUGGAGGUGUAUGUUAUGUAGAGGUGGAGGUGUAUGUUAUGUAGAGGUGGAGGUGUAUGUUAUGUAGAGGUGGAGGUGUAUGUUAUGUAGAGGUGGAGGUGUAUGUUAUGUAGAGGUGGAGGUGUAUGUUAUGUAGGGGUGGAGGUGUAUGUUAUGUAGAGGUGGAGGUGUAUGUUAUGUAGAGGUGGAGGUGUAUGUUAUGUAGAGGUGGAGGUGUAUGUUAUGUAGAGGUGGAGGUGUAUGUUAUGUAGAGGUGGAGGUGUAUGUUAUGUAGAGGUGGAGGUGUAUGUUAUGUAGGGGUGGAGGUGUAUGUUAUGUAGAGGUGGAGGUGUAUGUUAUGUAGGGGUGGAGGUGUAUGUUAUGUAGAGGUACAGAUGGAGGUGUAUGUUAUGUAGAGGGGUACAGAUGGAGGUGUAUGUUAUGUAGAGGGGUACAGAUGGAGGUGUAUGUUAUGUAGAGGGGUACAGAUGGAGGUGUAUGUUAUGUAGAGGGGUACAGAUGGAGGUGUAUGUUAUGUAGAGGGGUACAGAUGGAGGUGUAUGUUAUGUAGAGGGGUACAGAUGGAGGUGUAUGUUAUGUAGAGAUGGAGGUGUAUGUUAUGUAGGGGUGGAGGUGUAUGUUAUGUAGAGGUACAGAUGGAGGUGUAUGUUAUGUAGAGGGGUACAGAUGGAGGUGUAUGUUAUGUA